rnacentral:lncRNA from 12 species
AUGCCAUUUCCUCUUCAGAGCUCUUGAUUCCACUAUACAUUGCCAAGAACUACUUUCAGCCCCCUUGACUAUUGUGCAUUGAUGUUACCAGCCUUGGCCAAGAAAACUUCUGGAAUUGAGUCUGCAGUUAGCCAACAUUAGCCAUUCUAGAUAGGCUAUCCUCAUUCUUUUUUAUGUGUUAUUAUUCAAACUCAAAAGACUGCAGAUUUCUUUAUGAGUUUUAAAUCCCCUGUAAGGUACUGUCUGUGGCCUGCAGUCAGGAAGAAUGACAUACAAAAUGUGAAAGUCAUCAGUCUAUUUCCUUCUUUCAGUAUAUUUGACUUGUGGACAGUAAGCAGCCUGGUUCCAAUUGAAGACCACCAUGCAUGGGUCCUGCCCUACUGAAAUGGCAAAAGUACCAAGUGGCAGCAGCUUGGUGGUACGGUAAACACUAAGAGAAGAGCCUAGGAAUGGCAAGAUAUUCACCAAACUCUAAUUUUGUCCAUGAUUAAUUCUAAUGUUUCACACAAAAUUUUGCCACAU